rnacentral:rRNA from 1 species
AUUGAACGCUGGCGGCAUGCUUUACACAUGCAAGUCGAACGGUAACAGGCCUACGGGUGCUGACGAGUGGCGAACGGGUGAGUAAUGCAUCGGAACGUACCCAGAGGUGGGGGAUAACGCAGCGAAAGCUGUGCUAAUACCGCAUGUGAUCUGAGGAUGAAAGCGGGGGACCGAGCAGCAAUGUUUGGCCUCGCGCCUUUGGAGCGGCCGAUGUCGGAUUAGCUAGUUGGUGGGGUAAAGGCCUACCAAGGCGACGAUCCGUAGCUGGUCUGAGAGGACGACCAGCCACACUGGGACUGAGACACGGCCCAGACUCCUACGGGAGGCAGCAGUGGGGAAUUUUGGACAAUGGGCGCAAGCCUGAUCCAGCAAUGCCGCGUGCGGGAAGAAGGCCUUCGGGUUGUAAACCGCUUUUGGCAGGAACGAAACGGUGUCCGCUAAUACCGGGCGCUAAUGACGGUACCUGCAGAAUAAGCACCGGCUAACUACGUG